rnacentral:lncRNA from 1 species
CAGAGCAACCAUGGCCAUCACAUGGAUCUUGCAAUGAACCACAGCCACACCCAGUGUUAUGGCCAGAGUGAGAAACACCAUCCAUCGGGCCAUGGCUACCUGGCUCAAGGCCAUGGUCACAACAGUGGCUACCUGGCUCAAGGCCAUGGUCACAACAGUGGCUUCCUGGCUCAAGGCCAUGGUCACAACAGUGGCUACCUGGCUCACGGCCAUGGUCACAACAGUGGGCAUGCCAUGGCCAAACCCCAUACUCCCUGCAUGGGCCAAAACAAUGGCCGUUUCCUUGGCCAACAUGCCCAGACUCA